AAUUGCACGUUAGUGCAAUAUGGAGGAUUAGCUCAGCUGGGAGAGCAUCUGCCUUACAAGCAGAGGGUCGGCGGUUCGAGCCCGUCAUCCUCCACCAUUUUUCAUUAUACAUAUCGGUUUUACAUAUAUGCCGGUGUAGCUCAAUUGGUAGAGCAACUGACUUGUAAUCAGUAGGUUGGGGGUUCAAGUCCUCUUGCCGGCACCACUUUUAUAUGAUAUAAUAUUCAAGUCUAUUGUAAGAAGAGCCAUUAGCUCAGUUGGUAGAGCAUCUGACUUUUAAUCAGAGGGUCGAAGGUUCGAGUCCUUCAUGGCUCACCAUUUACAUGUUGCGGAUGUGGCGGAAUUGGCAGACGCGCUAGAAUCAGGCUCUAGUGUCUUUACAGACGUGGGGGUUCAAGUCCCUUCAUCCGCACCAUUUCUGCGGAAGUAGUUCAGUGGUAGAACACCACCUUGCCAAGGUGGGGGUCGCGGGUUCGAAUCCCGUCUUCCGCUCCAACUAUACCAUCCACGCCGGGGUGGUGGAAUUGGCAGACACACAGGACUUAAAAUCCUGCGGUAGGUGACUACCGUGCCGGUUCAAGUCCGGCCCUCGGCAUUAAGUUUUGCGCCCGUAGCUCAAUUGGAUAGAGCGUUUGACUACGGAUCAAAAGGUUAGGGGUUCGACUCCUCUCGG
rnacentral:tRNA from 1 species